ACGAACGCUGGCGGCGUGCUUAACACAUGCAAGUCGAACGGAGAGGCCCUGCUUUUGUGGGGUGCUCGAGUGGCGAACGGGUGAGUAACACGUGAGUAACCUGCCCUUGACUUUGGGAUAACUUCAGGAAACUGGGGCUAAUACCGGAUAGGAGCUCCUGCUGCAUGGUGGGGGUUGGAAAGUUUCGGCGGUUGGGGAUGGACUCGCGGCUUAUCAGCUUGUUGGGGGGGUAGUGGCUUACCAAGGCUUUGACGGGUAGCCGGCCUGAGAGGGUGACCGGCCACAUUGGGACUGAGAUACGGCCCAGACUCCUACGGGAGGCAGCAGUGGGGAAUAUUGCACAAUGGGCGGAAGCCUGAUGCAGCAACGCCGCGUGCGGGAUGACGGCCUUCGGGUUGUAAACCGCUUUCGCCUGUGACGAGGCGUGAGUGACGGUAAUGGGUAAAGAAGCACCGGCUAACUACGUG
rnacentral:rRNA from 1 species